GCAAGUUAAAAGAAGUAUAUAUACAUAAAAGAAAUCAGAGAAGUUAAAAAGAGCACAGAGCAGGACAAUAUACAAAGAUGACUGCCAAUGAUAUGCCAAAAAACGAGACACUAUAUAUUUAUAUAUAGCCUAAUCAAAGCAACAGCAUUCGGGCUUCAUUGUAAUGGUUCAAGUAAUACACAAAAAAGGAAGGAGGAAAACGUGCACAUGGAUGUACAUUAAGUGUUAUAAGUGCAAUCAUACACAUGAAAUAUGGGAGGGAUGAAGAAGCAGAGAGAGAAAAAAAUAAAACCAUAAUCCUCAACUACAACUAAACUCAUCUAAAACUUUAACAAAAGCCA
rnacentral:misc_RNA from 1 species